AUUAAAGCAUGAGGUGUUUUGCUUUUAAAGUGAUAAAAAAGUUGUUUGUUAAUUACAUGCAAAUUAAAGAGACAAAAUAUGGCUGAAAUUCAAAAAAUUGUUUAUGCUUUCAUCAUCAUGAUUUCCGUAAUUCUAGGUCAACAUAGUUUAAUCCCCUGCAAAACUAAUAUGGAUUGUGCAAAGGAUGUAUGUCUCAAUUAUAAAUUUCCGACUUGUGUUGGGAAAAAAUGUUACUGCUUGUCCGCGUAACAAUUUAUUUAUACAUAAUUCUAUGUUGCUUUUGAUUAGCUUAUAAUUUGAUGUGUCUGUCAUAAUGUUUUUACUAUUAUGAAAUUCUCACACUUUGACUCAUGCUUUUAUGAUAUUUCAAUUUCUUUUGAUAAACUGAAAAUCGUGUUGUUGUUAUUAUUAUUAUUAUUAUUAUUAUUAUAUA